UGAAGGACUGCCGCGCCACCUUCCUGUUCAUGUGAGCACAGCACAAACAGGCAGCAACAGACCAAAAUGCUGUUAUAGAUCAUGUCACGGCCAUCGUUGAAGGAAGACCAAAGUGCAGCGUGUAUGGAAUGACUCAGGCUCUGCCCUGGCUGUAUUUCUGCCUUGUCAUUGUGACUCAGCAUUCUGCAGUCUCAAACAGAGACAGAAGAGGAAGCGAGAUGUUCCACUCCCUCAAUGGUUCUGUUUCAAUGGAAGUCAAGGACUAAGCAGACAGCUAUCGCAUUGGUGUCUAUGGAGAACAUGUUUUAUACACUCAGUGUAUAUAUACAGUGCCGUAAAAAAGUAUUUCCCCCUUUCUGGUUUUCUCUAUUUUUGUUAUCAGAUCUUCAACCAAAACCUAAUAUUAGAUAAAGGGAACAUAGGUUUACGAAUAACAAAAAAAUGUAUACUUAUUUAAUUAGCCAAGUUACGCAAUACCAAAUUCCCCUGUGUGAAAAAGUAAUUGCCCCUUUACACUCUAUAACGGGUAUUGCCACCUUUAGCCUGCAAUGACUACAACCAGAUGCCCAAUACCAUAUCGGUCCAUAUUAUCAGGUAGGUGUGUAAUUUAGCAUUAAGCAUGAUAUCCUGUAUUACGGGGUCGCCCAUCUAAGUUUACCCCAGUGUGCUAGUAAUUAGCUAGAUCAGUGGUUCUCAAUCCUGGU